AUUGAACGCUGGCGGCAGGCCUAAAACAUGCAAGUCGAACGAGUGGCGGACGGGUGAGUAAUGUCUGGGAAACUGCCUGAUGGAGGGGGAUAACUACUGGAAACGGUAGCUAAUACCGCAUACCAUCGGAUGUGCCAAGAUGGGAUUAGCUAGUAGGUGGGGUAAAGGCUCACCACGGCGACAAUCCCUAGCUGGUCUGAGAGGAUGACCAGCCACACUUGAACUGAGACACGGUCCAGACUCCUACGGGAGGCAGCAGUGGGUAAUAUUGCACAAUGGGCGCAAGCCUGAUGCAGCCAUGCCGCGUGUAUGAAGAAGGCCUUCGGGUUGUAAAGUACUUUCAGCGGGGAGGCGUUACCCGCAGAAGAAGCACCGGCUAACUCCGUGCCAGCAGCCGCGGUAAUAC
rnacentral:rRNA from 1 species